UCCAGGCUGGGUUCUGAUGGACAGACAAAGAGAUGGAAGUCCAGGGUUCCAGGCUGGGUUCUGAUGGACGGAUAAAGAGAUGGAGGUCCAGGGUUCCAGGCUGGGUUCUGAUGGACGGACAAAGAGAUGGAGGUCCAGGGUUCCAGGCUGGGUUCUGAUGGACAGACAAAGAGAUGGAAGUCCAGGGUUCCAGGCUGGGUUCUGAUGGACGGAUAAAGAGAUGGAGGUCCAGGGUUCCAGGCUGGGUUCUGAUGGACGGAUAAAGAGAUGGAGGUCCAGGGUUCCAGGCUGGGUUCUGAUGGACGGACAAAGAGAUGGAGGUCCAGGGUUCCAGGCUGGGUUCUGAUGGACGGACAAAGAGAUGGAGGUCCAGGGUUCCAGGCUGGGUUCUGAUGGAUGGACAAAGAGAUGGAGGUCCAGGGUUCCAGGCUGGGUUCUGAUGGACGGAUAAAGAGAUGGAGGUCCAGGGUUCCAGGCUGGGUUCUGAUGGAUGGAUAAAGAGAUGGAGGUCCAGGGUUCCAGGCUGGGUUCUGAUGGACGGAUAAAGAGAUGGAGGUCCAGGGUUCCAGGAUGGGUUCUGAUGGACGGACAAAGAGAUGGAGGUCCAGGGUUCCAGGCUGGGUUCUGAUGGACGGAUAAAGAGAUGGAGGUCCAGGGUUCCAGGCUGGGUUCUGAUGGACGGAUAAAGAGAUGGAGGUCCAGGGUUCCAGGAUGGGUUCUGAUUAGAAUAAACUGAAGGAAGGAAAUCAGCUCUGAAUCAGAAGUGAAUCACAGUAAAGUGGGAUUUUUUAUUUUUAAUUAAACAUUCUGCUCUGUCUGAUGAUGAUGAUGGUGAUGAUGGUGAUGACUAUGUCCACAAGAUGGCGCCAGGAGAACAUGCAUGAGGCUGAGAUCAUCACAGAAAAGAGCUUCAUGUUUCUUCUGAUCUUUGACCUCCUUGAAGGGUUGAGAUGAAACCUCCAAACAGAAGAAGAAGAAACAGUUUGAUUCACACAGAAGAAGAAGAAGUUCAGACAGGAAGUACCGAUAAUGAUCCCUGAUCUAUCAGAACUUCAUUAAUCUACAGAGUCAGUAACCUGAUCGGUUCCAGGUUAUUGAUCAGUAACCUGAUCAGUUCCAGGUUAUUGAUCAGUUCCAGCUUAUUGAUCAGUAACCUGAUCAGUUCCAGGUUAUUGAUCAGUAACCUGAUCAGUCUGCUCUGGUUUUAUUUGCCGCCUCUUAAUAAACUUGUGAUAUUUGUUUUUAUAUUUUCGGUGUAAAUCAGCAGGGAAAGGUUUACAAGUUUAAUUGGUCCAGAGAUCAAUCGGUUUCCUGUUGGUGAAUCCAGCCAAUUAGGAGUUGAUGGGAGGUUUCUGGGACAAACAUGGAGGAUCAGCCUGGUAGAAUAAACGGGUGUUGUCAGGGCUGUCAGCAGUUUGCUGAUGCUGAGAUAAGAACUUCUCAGAGACGUGGAGUGAACCGCUCCCUGUCCUCGGCCUCACGUCAUCGGGACAGCCCGUUCUGGUGGCGUCAUGCUUCCUGCGUGGACGGCGAGCGGGCCUCAGUAGCUCGCGCUUAGCUGUGAAUCAGCUCAGUGUUGGACCGGUACAAUGUUCUCUUUGUGCUCUGCAGCAGCAGCUUAGAGAGGCCUCAGAUUCCACCUGCGCUUCCUCAGCUCACUGUGUUUGUGUU